rnacentral:lncRNA from 10 species
GUCUAUUUUAAAAAGCAUGUGAAAAUCUCCUGCUUGCUGGCCUUUCUAUAAAGAGAUUACGUGCCAGGAGGAUAACUUUAGGCAAAAACAUCACAAAACAGCCUGGUUUCCACAGAGGGAAAGUGGUGCUGAUGCAGCGUCGAUGGCAGAGGGGGAAGGAUAGGAACACCUGAAUGCCCCUCACGGCCACCCUGGCCUGCUACCUGCAGCCCGUGUCCCCACCCGCUCUGCAGGGAGAGCCAGGUGGCUCCCUCGGGAUGGCGGCAGUGGACCGGGCAGCGAGGGUGGAGGAAGGGUAUGGAUACAGGUUUCUGUGGCAGGAGGACAGGAAAGAUGAAAAAGCUUCAGCAACUUGUUCCCAGGCCGGAAACGCCACCUGUCAUGUGUUGAAUUGUGUCCCCUGCCAAGUUCGUAUGUCGAAGUCCUAACCCCAGUAUCUCAGGAUGUGGCCUUAUUUGGAAAUGAGGUUUGCAGAUGUCAUUGGUUGAGAUGAGGUCACACUGGAGGAUGGUGGGCCCUGGCCCCCUGUGCCUGGUGUCUGUGUGAGAAGAUGGCCCCAUGGAGAGACAUGCAGGUGGGAACCACAGGACAAUGAAGGAGCCAAAGGCCUCAGCGAGCCCCAGAUGCUCGGGAGGCCUGAACAGAUUCUCCCUCAUGGCCUUAGAAGGACUCGCCCUGCAGAUAGCUUGAUCUUGGACUUGCAGCCUCCAGAACUGCAGGGCAAUGUGUUUCUGUGUCGGCCACCCAGGCCGCGGCCAUUUUCUUAGAGUGGCCACAGGACUGACCCACCGCCCGCAGAGAGUGGUCUCUGUGUCCAAGACAGAGCUGCUCUCCCGGGUCUCCUGCACUGGCUGGGAGGUUGGGGCCAAGCAUGGGCUGCCCAGGGUGCGAGAAGGGCCAGGAGAAGUGGCAGAAGUGGCUGACCCUUCUGGCUGGGGUCCCUCCCAUCCCCAGGAGACAGGAGGAACAGUGUGGUCCCGGAGGGGCGAGCUCCCUGGAGGGAAGUUUCAUCCCCUGAGCUGACGGGGUCAGUGAUGUCACCUGCUGCCCCUCCUUUCCAGACCCGCUAGUCCUCCCUGGCCAUUGCAUGUGCCCCGAGGGUCCUGCACAAGCCAACAGUGCCCAUGAGCCAGCCGGAGACGGAGCCGCCAUGACACACACUCCCACCCUACGGAUCUGCCUGGUGUGCAGGUGGUGGGGCUGUCCCCUUGACGGACAGGUCUUGGGCCUCCGUGCCUGUGGGGACCCUGUGAGAGGCGCCUCUUUCAGGGGAGGUGUGUGGCUCCCACAUCGGCUUUCUCAUUGAGUCUGAGGCUGGGGCCAGGCCACCCAAAUUCCCACAGGGCGCGCAUCUCAUCCCUUAAGCCCUCUGUGGUCUAAUGGGGGUCCUAGCCUAUCUUUCCUGCCCCCACGAUUCUCCUCCCAUCUCCACCUUCCCAUCAAGCGCCCAACUCCUGUCCUUCCAGCCAGGUCUUUGCCUGCACCCACAAAUCCAUCUUUCACCCCAGCCCACGACACACCCCAACCAGAGGCUCAUCCUCCUCAGAGCAUCACAGCGCCCUGUCCUUCCCUCCUUGAGCCCUUCUCACAUGUUGCUGACUCUGCCUAAAGAUGUCUGAGUUCUUCCGCUGAACAGGAGCACCUUUAGGGCAGCAACAGUGCCCAGCUGUCUUUGUGUCAACCCCAGCUUUCUGCCCACUGAACGCUUCACAGGAGAGGGGCAUUUCUGGAUUUGGAAUUAAUCCCGAGACAGGACCCACUAUUGUCCCCAGUACCUGCUCCUCCAGUCCCCUGGGAGCUAUGCCGAGGGGGAGAGUGGAAGGGAUUUUUACUCUGAGAAGAUCUCCUCCCUCUCGCUCUGUUUAUUUUGUGAUUUAAAAAUAGUUUGUCUGUUGAGAGCCCGUUUGUUGCUGUGACCCUUCUGCUAUUUAAACAGAGCCCCUGCCUCAUCCCCCAACACCCUCAGUUUUCCAGGCAGAACAUUCCACACGGUUGCAACCUCCCCCGCCCAGCGAGGCUUUCGCACUCACUCCCCUCCGACACACCUGCAGGCAGCUUCUUUUUCACAGUGAGGACCUGGAACUCAGCGCAGGCUCUGUGUGAGGCCAGAGGAAGGGACACGAAGCGCGCUGAGCUGUCGCUCUCCUUCCCUUCCGGACCUCACACUUCUGCUGGUGCCGUGAGCUUUUUCUUGGCAGCACCUUCUCAUUACGGAUUCAGAUGAAGCCUGAAUCAGCUGCAACCCCUGAGCAUUCUCUUCCAGAGAUGGGUGUUGCUCCUGAGCCGUGAGCACACAUAAGCCUGGGCAGCUGUUGCUUUUUUCUUUUAAGCACAAAGUAGAGUAUUUCAUAGAGAAAACUUGUAGGGCUUCAGCUUUACAAUGACAAAAAAACUUAGCGUAACAAAACAGUCCAAUGGUUAUUGCAGAGCAGAACUGUCCUGAAUUAAAGGGAAUCCUUCCCUUAAGGCUGAUGCUAUUCCAGAGUGCGGACGAACCACGUGUUGCUUAUCCAGUCAUCUGUCAGGGAACUCUCGGGCUGCCUCCCCCUUUUGGCGAUUAUGAAGAAUGCUGCUGCCAACAAGGAUGUACAAAUACCCCUUUGAGUCCCUGCUUUUUGUUCCUUUGGGUAUAAAUCAAGAAGUGGGGUUGCUGGACCAUCUGGUAAUUGUGUGCUUAAUUUUUUGAAGAGCCACUGGUGUUUUCCAUAGCAGCUGCCCCAUUUCAUCAUCAUCUUAAUUCUUCAUUUAUACCUCGAUCACACCAUCAUUCUGCUGGAAUAUUAUAAUUAAGCAAUUCAUGCAAACAUUUUUAAGAUGUGAGGUCUUUAUGUCACCCAUUUUGAUUUAAUUGCUAACAAAUUAAUUUUUAUAAAUAUUAAUAGCCCAGCCAAAAGUAAUUAUUUAUAAACCUGGAGUGCAUGUUGAUUUAUACAUUAUUCUUCCUAACCAGUUCUAAUUCUAAUAUUUUAGUAAGACAUGUUUCCAAUUUUCUUUACCCCCAAACUAAUUUUAUAGCCCGU